rnacentral:rRNA from 1 species
UACUCGAGUGGCGAACGGGUGAGUAACACGUGGGUGAUCUGCCCUGCACUUCGGGAUAAGCUUGGGAAACUGGGUCUAAUACCGGAUAGGAACCAUCUUUAGUGUGGUGGUUGGAAAGUUUUUUCGGUGUAGGAUGAGCUCGCGGCCUAUCAGCUUGUUGGAGGGGUAAUGGCCUACCAAGGCGGCGACGGGUAGCCGGCCUGAGAGGGUGAUCGGCCACACUGGGACUGAGACACGGCCCAG